AAAAAUCUCACAAAUUACUAACAUAAGAUACAUUCCCAAAACACAGUGUCACUGAGAACAUGAGCAUCUAAAUGAUAACAAAGUUUGACUGCUAAAAACAGUGUCUGAAAAUGUAGAACAGUACAAAAACUGAAGGGAAAGAGAAUCAAGGUUUGUAGACGUCAAGCAACUACCUCGAUGAUCUCCAACAGAUAAAACUCCAAGAACUAGCAGCCGCCGUGUCCAGAAGUACAUAGAUCUGCACACGAGGUGCAGGGUGUAGUAUGAGUACAACCAACUCAGCAAGUAAUAAUACUAAAUAAAGAAUUGAAAGUAGUGACGAGCUUCACAACUAAGUCCAAUUACAAUAAUUUCCAACAUAAGAAAGUAGGCAUGCUUGUAAGUUUAACAAUUAAGCCCCAAACAGUAAUUUCAUAUCAAGUUCAACUAAAACAGGAGAUAAUAUCUUUUAGAAAUUUCCAACACAGUGAUAUAUAUGACAACGGUAGUGCAAUAAGAAUGAAAUCAAACAUAUCCUCUCAGGACCACAGUCACUCAGCCAUUCCAUUCACUCAUCACUCAGCAUUCGCACUUAGUAGGUAUUUGCGCUCACUCGGGGUGUGUACAGACUCCGGAGGGGCUCCUUCAGCCCAAGUGCUAUAAUCUGUACAGACAACUCACGUGUUAGUAUAAUAUCUGGAUCUGCACGGACAACUCACGUGUUAGUAUAAUAUCUGGAUCUGCACAGACAACUCACGUGCUAUAGUAUAAUAUCUGGAUCCGCACGGACAACUCACGUGCUAUAGUAUCAAUAUCUCACAAUCAGGCCCUCGGCCUCACUCAGUCAUAAAUCUCUUCAGUCUCUCCGACUCUCAAUAAUCAUGAAAGUCAGCCCAAACAACAAUGAGAUGAUGCAUCAAUAAUGAACAAUAGAGACUGAAAUAAAAUAAAUAAGAAAACUGUGACUGAGUACAAAACAACAAUUUAGCAGAUAAUUUAAUACGGACACGGCCUCUGUGGGUCCCUACAGUGCCAACACAUAAUCUAAACAUGAUUUGUGAUUUAAUUUCUCUACUACAUGGAGAAUGUAUAGAUAACAACAGAUUAUUCAACUACAGAGUUCCAUAGAAUUUGACCAAGUCACAAUUCCUACGGUGCACACCCACACGCCCGUCACCUAGCAUGUGCGUCACCUCAAACCAAUCAUAUAACACAUAAUCUGGGGUUUCAUACCCUCAGGACCAAAUUUAAAGCUGUUACUUACCUCAAUCCGAGCAAUUCUUUAUUCCAAUAAGCCUCUGCCUCGCGAAUCGACCUCUGAAUGCCUCAAAUCUAGUCACAAUUAAUUCGAUUNNNNNNNNNNNNNNNNNNNNAUCUAACCACGAGUCCCAACCAUACAAAUUUCACCAAAUUCCGACAUCAACUCGACCCUCAAAUCUUCAAUUAAAGUCUUUGAAGAUUUUCUACCAUUUUCAACCCAAUCUUUACACAUUUGAACUCAAUAAUCUUUCCACAAACCUUAUUGGUACGUGUAUAUAUAAAUAAUACUCUUACACCCAAGAAUCAUACUCCCAAUCACCCAUCUUUACCCAAACUCGAAAAUGAAGACUAGGGUUAGAAAUUCUUACCUCUUUGAAACCCUAGCAAGAUCCUUGUGAAAUCUUCAAAUCUUGAACAAGAAUUGAUGGACAACUGGUUAGGUCUUCACUUUUUCUCUCUAAGAUGCUCUCACUUCUCUCUAAAAUAUAAGAUGAAACCCUUCAAAAUGACCCCUAAUAGUGUUUUAUAAGAAUGGGAUCGGGUUUAUAAAACCCAAAAAAUGAAGUCCCGAAACACACUUUGCGGUCGCAUAUACGACCGUAUAAUGCUCCUACGGCCCGCAUAAUGGGUUGCAAAAAGGCCCUCCAUAACUGGGCAAUACUGUAUCAAAUUGCGGUCGUUAUGCGGUCUGCAGAUCUGUUUAGCGGUCGCAUAAUGCUCCGCAGAACUGGUGUGCGGUCGCAUAACGCGCUGCAGACCUUCCUCUAAACUUUCCCCACUUCUGAUUCACUCUGCGGCCAUUAUGCGGUCCGCAGAGUGAUUCUACUACCGCAUAGUGGGCCGUAGAAAUGACCUUUUUCCGGCAAAAUAUUUCCUUUUACUCAUCGACGCAUUGUUCAACCCAAAAGAUUUAAGCCGUGGCGAGAAAGCUCACCGUGAAGAAUUUCUAAAAUUCUCAAACAAGUAAGCCUAGUUCGGCACCAUGAAACCUUAAUUUCCUUAGCAAAUUUUUUUUCAGGGGUCGUUACACAUAGGUCAACAUCCACCCUUUUCAACUUAAGUUCUAAACCUUGGAACUAAGUAUUCCAAAUUAUUUCAAAACCUCACCGGACCCGAAGCAAUUACACUGGCAAGUCAAAUAACAAUCGAAAAGCACAAUUUGAGCAGUAAAUGGGGAGACGUGGUUGUAAUACUCGAAACGAUCGGCCGGGUCGUUACAGUAAAACGCACCCGCAAUGUACGACAUGAUUUUAUUUUAUUAUCACUUUGAAGUUAUAGUCAAGUUAUACGAGCGUUCACUCGAUUUUUGAAGUUACGUAUCAUGAUUAUGCAAUGGGAAUUAUACCCAUAGUUACGAUGAUUUAUUAUUAAAGCACACCUAACGCAAACUAUGAUAUUCGAAGGCUGUUGUCCUAAACUAAUUUGAGAUUUGUUGUGAGGUCUGUGAAUUAUGGAAAUCAUUUGUGGAUAACCGUAUAGGUAUUAAUUAAUUCUAAUCCUACAUGUUUGAGCCAAUAGUUGAAAUCUGCUAAGGUGAAUAAGAGACAUGACGCAAUUGCCUGUCCCAGCCAAUGACUUUGACAAAAUAAUCUGAGAGAGGUCAUCGUUUAUACUAACUUGCUGAACAAUUGAAAAUAAAAUAAAACACUAGCAAUAUUUAAUUCAUGCGAAUUUCAUUGGGUCAAACUCUAGGGCCCAUGACUUGGAGCAUCCAGACUCAUAUGCACAGCCCCUGUUGGGUCAUUUACAAGUCUGGCCCAAUUCACAACUUACGCACAAAUUAGCGCAAAAUUCUGGAGAUAAUCAAUCUUCAUAAGUUGGGUUUCAAAUUUGAAAUACAUUUGUAAUGAAUUGAAACAAGAUACAAUGCCAAACUAGAAUCAAAUUCAUAGAUUUAAACCAUCUGAUGACUCAACGCUAUUUAUUACAAUUACAGCCACUUUACACUAAUAAUCAAACCCAGUUCAUGUUCUUCCCUUCCAUUUCCCAUGAUUUAUUAAAGGUAUUUACCUCUUUAAUGUGAAUCCUCCCUAAAAGCAGGAAACAAACAUAGUAACUCUUACUGUUACGCAAAUAAAUAGCAACUGAAUCAAUGAAAUAUUUUCUUUAUCCUCAUUCAAUUAUAUUUUCAAAUAUAUGAUGUUAACAAAGACAUGGAAUCAAAUCACAUGAAACUGCUUGCAUGUUAUAAGGUCCAAUUUAAUCCAUAACCAUGGUCUAAUCAAGUUUACAAGCAUUUCACUCACCGCUGAAACUAAAUAAUAGCUAAUGGAUCAAAAUAGUAACAGCAAAUGAAUUAAGAAAUAACCACGAUUUCAUUUUAAAGCAGAUCUGGUAUAGAAUUCAGAUUGAGACACAUACCUAAAUCACAGGAGCUAAUUUAAAGAGCAAAUUGCCAAAUAAAGGCCAAACUUGAAGGUUGGAGCUCAGCUACUAAGUUGAUAGCAGAAAAACUUCAAUCACAGAUGAAAUCCAAGUUGAAGAACCCAGAAAAUGAUAGAGGAAAUCAUUUGGAAUUGACUAAAACAGUUGCAGCUCUCCCUAAUUGUUUUUGAGUAUAAAAUUGCUUAAACCUUUAUUGUUUUUUGGUGUUUUUCUUGUCAAUUUUUGAAGCUGAAAUUUUAGAUCUAAGAUCUGAAUUUGAAAGCUGUUUUUGAAUUAUUUUUUAGAGGCUGCUUUGUGACAAAUGCCUGAACGAAGAGAGAGUGAGUGUCAGUGCAGGUGCGUGAAGGGGAGAGUCUUUAUGCGGGAGUCUGUCCAUCAGAGAAUGAGAGUGUGUACUGUUUUAUAACAAACUCUCAGUAUAUUUUUCUGUUUUUCUUUUUUCUUUUUAGUCCUUCCUAUUACUGAACAGUCUAUAAUAAAAUCACCUUUACUCUUACUUCUAGCAUAUUAGUCCCUUUUUCCCUUUCCAGAAGUUUUUUUAACAGUUACACCCAAGAUUCCUUAAAUUUUUCUUUCCCUUAAACCCUCUUAGACUUUUAGUAAUUACAAACAAUAGUAACAAACGAACUCCAACAAAUUUAAAAUCAAAACAGAGCAAAUAACAUUAAAAAAACCAAGUAAUCUAAUAAUUAAUUCUAAUUCAAACAUGCGACUAACAUGAUUCAAGAUCAAUUAGCCUACAAGUUAAUUAUCAUGCAAUUAAACUAACUAAAAAGGAAUAUCCUAAUAUGCGAACACACAAACUGUCGAGCUAAACUAACAUACAAAUGCAAAUUUGAAUCAGAGAAUAGGGGAGGAGGAUAAGAUCAGAUUUAAAAUCAACAAAAAAAAAAAGAAAAAGAGGGGAAGGCAUACCUACUGAGUUUCAACAGAUUGAGAAAAAUGAUUCCAGCAAGCCGGAAAAGCAGAAAAGGUCAAUUGGAGAGCACCUAACCGGUCAACGACCGGUUGACGAAAAUCCGACAAUUAAAAAACGGGUUAAAUCUUACAUCAAUUGAUAGCUCUUGUCAAGAGCUAUCCAUUGAUGUAAAUUUCAACCGUAAUCAUGGCCGAUUUGAUCGAGAAAUGAUAAAAGGAGAUUUUAUUUUAUUUUUUAGAAUUCUGAGAUCUGCAAUUCAUGGAAUGCGACAGGGAUUUUGAAAAAAUUGACGGUAGAUUAGUGAUGAGAGGAGGUUGGGGAUUAUGGGGUGAUAUUUUGGGGGUAUUUGGCGACGGGCCGCUGCCAUGGACGAUUUUCGGCGACGGCAGACGAUGGAGGGUGGUGAGAGAGAUAUGAGAGGUCUGAG
rnacentral:lncRNA from 1 species